rnacentral:rRNA from 1 species
AACGAACGCUGGCGGCAGGCUUAACACAUGCAAGUCGAGCGCCUCGCCUUCAGCGAAGCUGAAGGCAGUGACCAGUGAUCAGUGACCAGUGACCGGGAAAGGGGGAGCCUCUUUCGGGUUGCGGGUGCUGAUGAGGUCGCUGCCGUGGUGUUGACGGGUGUCGGUGAUUUGUGAUCGGAAAGCUGAAGUCUUUCUGGUCACUGAUUACUGGUCACNGGUCACUGCCAUCGGCUUCGCUGAU